UACGGAAGGGGCAAGCGUUGUUCGGAAUCAUUGGGCGUAAAGGGCGCGUAGGUGGUUCUGUAUGUCUACCGUGAAAGCGUACGGCUCAACCGUAUUUUGUCGGUGGAAACUGCAGGACUUGAGGCUGGGAGGGGCUGGUGGAAUUCCCUGUGUAGCGGUGAAAUGCGUAGAGAUGGGGGAGAACACUCGUGGCGAAGGCGGCCAACUGGCCCAGUCCUGACGCUGAGGUGCGAAAGCGUGGGGAGCAAACAGG
rnacentral:rRNA from 1 species